UACGUAGGGGGCAAGCGUUGUCCGGAUUAUUGGCGUAAAGAGCGUGUAGGCGGCCAUACAGGUUCAGCUGUGAAAACUCGAGGCUCAACCUCGAGACGUCGGUUGAAACCGUAUGGCUAGAGUCCGGAAGAGGAGAGUGGAAUUCCCGGUGAUAGCGGUGAAUGACGCAGAUAUCGGGAAGAACACCCGUGGCGAAGGCGAUCGACCUGGGUGUUCGUGACGCUGAGGAGCGAAAAGCUAGGGGAGCAAACGGGGAUU
rnacentral:rRNA from 1 species